GAAUGGAAAGUACAUUUCUGACUGCAGUUGACUAAGGCUUAAAGCACGUGCAAAGUGUAGUUGGAAAAGUUACGUAACUUUUAUAGCAGAGGAGCCUGAUGGGGCGACACGGAUGGCAAGGAUCUGACUAUUGCAGCAUUCAUUUUGUCUAGAAAGCUGCUCCAAAUGAAGAGCUGGAGGAGAGGAAGCAGUGAGCAAACUCACCUAUACUUUGACUUGUGGGGAAGCUCGUGAACCCGGAAGUGAAAACAUGGAGUCAACUAACUGGCUGGGGCGAAUUAAAGACUGCACUCUGCGUGUAGUCAGAUGACAAAGGUGGAUAUGAGAGCUCGUGGUAACAGCUACUUCUGCAUCUGGAGAUCACUGCAGGCCGCUUCUGCCUCCCAGGACAGUCAGAGAAGCUAGGGAACGUAUAGAGACUGUUUCUAGUGAGGUCUUGUGGAGGAUGGGAGCACGUGGAGAGGAGAGGAGGGACAGCAGGAACGGAAGAGCAUGAAAGGUCACUCCGAGAAGGCGUCAUUCAAAAAGUGUGGAUGCAGAUCGUGAAGACUGACCUGCCCCUCCUCCCACUAGGAGAGCAGUAUUUAAUGCAGUGGUGGGACAAUCAGGGCUGAGAAAAUGGUAGCACCAUCCACACGGUGAAUGGAGAGAACGGACUCCUGAAGGCUGUCCCCUAACUCCCAUGCAUGUUAUGGCACAGAAACCUCUUACUUACCAAAGCAAACACACAAACAAAUGUGAAUGGAGAACAAGGAGCCAUUAUGAAUGGCCAGACUCUAUUCUAGCCCAGUGAAAUACAGAAGCCUACAUCGUGAGCAAAGGGAGGAUCAAAACCAUGUCCAACGGCAAUACUGGGAGGCAAAGGCUUGUUUCAGCUGUCUGUCAUUAGAGGAAGCCAAGUCAGGACCUCAAGACAUGAACUCGGAGGCAGGAACUAGAGCAGAGCGCACAGAAGAAGCUCUCUAUGGCUUGCUCAGACUACCUUUUUUUUUUUUUUUUAAAUAAAACUCAGGAUCACCUAUGUA